rnacentral:rRNA from 1 species
AUACGUAGGGGGCGAGCGUUGUCCGGAAUGAUUGGGCGUAAAGGGCGCGUAGGCGGCGCGGUAAGUCUGGAGUGAAAGUCCUGCUUUCAAGGUGGGAAUUGCUUUGGAUACUGCCGCGCUUGAGUGCAGGAGAGGUUAUCGGAAUUCCCGGUGUAGCGGUGAAAUGCGUAGAGAUUGGGAGGAACACCAGUGGCGAAGGCGACUUACUGGACUGUAACUGACGCUGAGGCGCGAAAGUGUGGGGAGCAAACAGGAUUAGAUACCCUGGUAGUCCACACUGUAAACGAUGAAUGCUAGGUGUAGGGGGUAUCGACCCCUUCUGUGCCGCAGUCAACACAAUAAGCAUUCCGCCUGGGGAGUACGGCCGCAAGGUUGAAACUCAAAGGAAUUGACGGGG